rnacentral:tRNA from 1 species
GGGGAUGUAGCUCAGUGGUAGAGUAUUUGCCUAGCAUGCAUAAAGCUUCAAGUUCCAUUCCCA